rnacentral:lncRNA from 1 species
GUGACCUAAUGCUCCCCCACCCCACUUGUGAUUCCGUCACCGGAAUUUCUUCUCAAGUGGUCUCUGAUCCAGAGAGACACACCCAGCGGCAGCCGUUGACUCCCUCCACCCUUGCUUCCCUCUCAACCAUCUCACCUCCAUCUGUCCAGUGGAGCCAGAUGUCCCACCUUCUUGGGAGAAAUUAAUUGAGGCUCAUUUCCAGGACAGAGGGGCAAGCUGGGUCUGAGGAGCCAAGCAGAAAAACUUCCCAAAAUCACUGGGUGGGGAGGGGUCAGAGACUUACUGCUGCCCCAGCUGUUCUGACUCUGCCCCCAGCUUUUGGCCCCACCCUUUUAAAGCACCUUCAGAGGUUCCCAAUGGUGACAGUAAACAAGUCUCCACUGUCCUGGCCAUCUCUGCUGUGUUCACCCUACUCCUGAUCUUUCUGGCUGCUCAGGGACUGACAGCCAAGAUGUGAGGCUGUGAUGAGCAGGAACAGGGAGGCCUGGAGCCCCCAGCCAUUGUCAUCACUUCCCUGAUCUGCCUAAAUUCUGCCCAGCAGUCCGUGAAAAUGGUUUGCUGAUGACAUAUGUAAGGACUUUAACUCCCCUCAAGCAAUCUGCUCAUCUCAAAGGACAGAUUUGCAAUGAUCAAGAGGCGUCCUGUGAAUGCAGUUUGCAAAGGACUUAGGCACACAGCAUCUCCUUUGUUCUCACCACAAGGCUGCCGGGUGUGCAGAUGUGAGGAUUAUUUCAAUGGUGAAGAAGCAUCCUGAGAGGUUACGUAGUUCAACUAAUGUCACACCAAGAGCAGGAGAGCAUCUGGGCAUUUGGACAUGGAAGGUGUGGGGCACAAGCAUCUCAUGGCCAGGGAACGGGGGAGGAGCAUCUCAGAGCUGCAUCAGAGUUCAUGCUGGUCCUAGGACAAGAGUCAAGCACACCCUGCUUUCACCAGCUGCUGGUAGCUUUCACUCAGGUUCCCACUUUGGCCACUUAAUUCUCUGAACCUCUACUACAUGAAGAGACUAGAACUUGAUUAGAAAAAAAUGGAAUGACUCUUAAUGAGCAAGUGGAUGAAUAAAUUGUGAAAUCUAAGGGCACUCUUACCUAAACAGAUACUGAAUUACAAAUGAAAUCAAUUGUCCUUGGCAAAUCAAGGAGGUUAAGGGGAAAGAUAAACUCUGUUCUACAUCACCUCCCUGACAAGGCAGCAAGCCCGCGGAUAAGAGCAAUGGAGCACUGACGAGUGUAAUGAAAAUUCACAAGUUUGUUCUAGAAAUGACUGGAGGAGACACCACAGGCCCCGUGCUCCCAAGACAUCACCAAUUCUUCUAAGGGAUGCUUGGCCUCUGGGCACGUCUAAUUACCCUUCAAGCAUAAUGUGGUUAUAAAGAGCCUAAGCUGCUGUUGUAUAUGCCUCCCAAGUCUCCCCCCAUCACCUCUGGAGGUGGGGACUUAACCAGAGAACUCUCCCUUUGGAGUAUUUAUGGCCUCAAGGAGGCUGGCUUUAAAACUGAAAUGUUUCUGACACCUGAGCAUCUAGUACACGGAGAUGGGUCCUCUUUGUGUCUAAACUGUAUUUGUUCUAAGGACUCAAGUGUAUCCACACAGGUUUGGAGGGCAUGUGAGGUGGGACCACUAAGACAGAUUUGAUGGAGAUCUGGAAGUCUAAGCCACAACAUUGAUUCAAGGAUACUGGAGCAGUGUCACAGUGUAUGAAACCCUAAAGAGAACAGAGCUCAUCCCGUAUUGCUCAUCAGACUCCCACAAUGCUUAGUCCAACCUGGGACCCAGAAUCAAUGGGGUCUAGAUUUUCAUUUUGUGCCGUGUCUGCAAAUUAUGUAGUUCAUCCUGCCCUUACUCUACUCCUUUAACACAUUGACUGUGUCUGGAAUUUAAGAAAACAGUGUUUAUAGCAGCUGUGCAAAGUG